rnacentral:tRNA from 1 species
GCGGGCGUAGCUCAGCCUGGUUAGAGUGUCCCCCUGUCACGGGGAAGGUCGUGGGUUCAAAUCCCAUCGCCCGCGCCA